GAAUUCGCCCUUAGAGUUUGAUCCUGGCUCAGGAUGAACGCUGGCGGCGUGCCUAACACAUGCAAGUCGAGCGAUGAAACUUUCACCGCGUCCUUCGGGACAAGGUAAAAGUGGAUUAGCGGCGGACGGGUGAGUAACACGUGAGGAACCUGCCUUUCACAACGGGGUAGCCUCGGGUAACCGGGAUUAAUACCGUAUGACAGCUUAGUAUCGCAUGGUACUAAACUCAAAGAAUUUCGGUGAAAGAUGGCCUCGCGUCCCAUUAGCUAGUUGGUGAGAUAAAAGCUCACCAAGGCGAUGAUGGGUAGCCGGCCUGAGAGGGUGAACGGCCACACUGGAACUGAGACACGGUCCAGACUCCUACGGGAGGCAGCAGCGGGGAGUAUUGCACAAUGGAGGAAACUCUGAUGCAGCGACGCCGCGUGAGCGAAGAAGGCCUUCGGGUCGUAAAGCUUUGUCCUAGGGGAAGAUAGUGACGGUACCUUAGGAGGAAGCCCCGGCUAACUACGUGCCAGCAGCCGCGGUAAUACGUAGGGGGCGAGCGUUAUCCGGAAUUAUUGGGCGUAAAGGGUUCGCAGGCGGCUAAACAAGUCAGGUGUGAAAGGUCGAGGCUUAACCUCGGUAAGCAUUUGAAACUGUCUAGCUUGAGUUAAGGAGAGGAAAGAGGAAUUCCUAGUGUAGCGGUGAAAUGCGUAGAUAUUAGGAGGAAUACCAGUGGCGAAGGCGACUUUCUGGCCUUAAACUGACGCUGAGGAACGAAAGCGUGGGUAGCAAACAGGAUUAGAUACCCUGGUAGUCCACGCCGUAAACGAUGAGUGCUAGGUGUCGGGAGUCAAAUCUCGGUGCCGGAGCUAACGCAUUAAGCACUCCGCCUGGGGAGUACGUGCGCAAGCAUGAAACUCAAAGGAAUUGACGGGGACCCGCACAAGCAGCGGAGCAUGUGGUUUAAUUCGAAGCAACGCGAAGAACCUUACCAGGGCUUGACAUCUAUUUGCCAUUUGUAGAGAUACAAAGUUUUCUUCGGAAACAAAUAGACAGGUGGUGCAUGGUUGUCGUCAGCUCGUGUCGUGAGAUGUCGGGUUAAGUCCCGCAACGAGCGCAACCCUUGCCUUUAGUUGCCAUCAUUAAGUUGGGCACUCUAGAGGGACUGCCGAUGACAAAUCGGAGGAAGGUGGGGAUGACGUCAAAUCAUCAUGCCCUAUAUGUCCUGGGCUACACACGUGCUACAAUGGUCGGUACAGCGAGCAGCUACACAGCGAUGUGAUGCGAAUCUCACAAAGCCGAUCUCAGUUCGGAUUGCAGGCUGCAACUCGCCUGCAUGAAGUCGGAGUUGCUAGUAAUCGUGGAUCAGCAUGCCACGGUGAAUGCAUUCCCGGGUCUUGCACUCACCGCCCGUCA
rnacentral:rRNA from 1 species